rnacentral:rRNA from 1 species
UAACUGUUCAUCGGAAUGGGGGAACCCUGAUCCAGCCAUGCCGCGUGUGUGAAGAAGGCCUUUUGGUUGUAAAGCACUUUAAGCAGUGAAGAAGACUCCGUGGUUAAUACCCACGGACGAUGACAUUAGCUGCAGAAUAAGCACCGGCUAACUCUGUGCCAGCAGCCGCGGUAAUACAGAGGGUGCAAGCGUUAAUCGGAAUUACUGGGCGUAAAGCGAGCGUAGGUGGCUUGAUAAGUCAGAUGUGAAAUCCCCGGGCUUAACCUGGGAACUGCAUCUGAAACUGUUAGGCUAGAGUAGGUGAGAGGGAAGUAGAAUUUCAGGUGUAGCGGUGAAAUGCGUAGAGAUCUGAAGGAAUACCGAUGGCGAAGGCAGCUUCCUGGCAUCAUACUGACACUGAGGCUCGAAAGCGUGGGUAGCAAACAGGAUUAGAUACCCUGGUAGUCCACGCCGUAAACGAUGUCUACUAGUCGUUGGGUCCCUUGAGGACUUAGUGACGCAGCUAACGCAAUAAGUAGACCGCCUGGGGAGUACGGCCGCAAGGUUAAAACUCAAAUGAAUUGACGGGGGCCCGCACAAGCGGUGGAGCAUGUGGUUUAAUUCGAUGCAACGCGAAGAACCUUACCUGGUCUUGACAUAUCUAGAAUCCUGCAGAGAUGCGGGAGUGCCUUCGGGAAUUAGAAUACAGGUGCUGCAUGGCUGUCGUCAGCUCGUGUCGUGAGAUGUUGGGUUAAGUCCCGCAACGAGCGCAACCCUUGUCCUUAGUUACCAGCGGGUUAAGCCGGGAACUCUAAGGAUACUGCCAGUGACAAACUGGAGGAAGGCGGGGACGACGUCAAGUCAUCAUGGCCCUUACGACCAGGGCUACACACGUGCUACAAUGGUAGGUACAGAGGGCAGCUACACAGCGAUGUGAUGCGAAUCUCAAAAAGCCUAUCG